CCAACUCUGCACAGGAGACGAACAUCUUGGGAGGUUAUGAGAAGCAAACUCUAGUGACAAGCACUCAUUCCAUUUCCAUCUGAUUGAGACAGCUCCCCAACUCAUGAAGGACUUUAAAGCCAAUGCUUGACUUCAGGGGAAUAUUAUUCUCUGGUGCAAUGACGGGUCUCCACAGGUAGGCUAGUUUACCUGUGGAGCGUUCAUCACACAGAAGAGAAAGAGGGCCAAUUUUUACUAACAAUGUUGGAGUGCUGGAGAACAUCUGACUUGGACCUCCUUGAACCAACAGCCAGAAUUCACAACGCUUUCAGUAUGUGUGUCGGCCCAAAGCCUCCGUCAACUGCUACACUUUGACCUUGACCUUCUUGAGCUUUUUCGCCCACAAACUCAGGGGCAUGUGCAUGUACAUUUCAGUGUUUGGACUUGUGAGAGGUCGGAUAAAAUGAACUAAUAAAUGAAUAAAUAAAUAAAAAAUACAUUUAAAAAAGAGUUAACCUACCUGGUUUCCCGGGAAA